rnacentral:rRNA from 1 species
UACGGAGGGUGCGAGCGUUGUCCGGAAUCACUGGGCGUAAGGGGCGCGUAGGCGGCUUCGCUAGUCGGGCGUGAAAUGCCUGGGCUUAACCCGGGAAUUGCGUUCGAUACUUCGAGGCUAGAGUGUGGGAGAGGUUGGUGGAAUUCCCAGUGUAGAGGUGAAAUUCGUAGAUAUCAGGAGGAACACCGGUGGCGAAGGCGGCUACCUGGACAGAAACUGACGCUGAGGCGCGAAAGCUAGGGGAGCAAACAGG